rnacentral:rRNA from 1 species
AUUGAACGCUGGCGGCAGGCCUAACACAUGCAAGUCGAGCGCGCGGCGGACGGGUGAGUAAUGUAUGGGGACUGCCCGAUAGAGGGGGAUAACUACUCGAACCGGUAGCUAAUACCGCAUACUAUCGGAUAACCCAUAUGGGAUUAGCUAGUAGGUGAGGUAAUGGCUCUCCUAGGCGACGAUCCCUAGCUGGUCUGAGAGGAUGAUCAGCCACACUGGGACGGAGAAACGACCCAGACUCGUACGGAUGCAGCAGUGGUGAAUCGUGCACAAUGGGCGCAAGCCGGAUGCAACCAUGCCGCGUGUAUGAAGAAGGCCCGAGGGGUGUAAAGUACUUUCAGUCGGGAGGCGUUACCGACAGAAGAAGCACCGGCUAACUCCGUGCCAGCCGCCGCGGUAAUAC